rnacentral:rRNA from 1 species
ACGCUCGACACCUACGGGGGGCAGCAGUGGGGAAUAUUGGGCAAUGGGCGAAAGCCUGACCCAGCAACGCCGCGUGAGGGAAGAAGGUUUUCGGAUUGUAAACCUCUGUCCUCAGGGACGAAGGACGUGACGGUACCUGAGGAGGAAGCCCCGGCUAACUACGUGCCAGCACGCCGGACGGUAAUCUGGAGGCGGGCGUCGGACGAAGGC